rnacentral:ncRNA from 1 species
CGCGGGAGACAUCCUCGGACUUGUCCGGGGAGGCCGAAGGAGCAACCGCCUCGGAAACUCUCAGGUGAACAGGACCGCGCG